GCUCCUUGGCAUGUGGGAUCUUCCCAGACCAGGGCUCGAACCCGUGUCCUCUGUAUUGGCAGGCGGAUUCUUAACCACUGCGCCACCAGGGAAGGCCCAAGGCCUGUUUUUAGUGUGGAUGCCUGCCACCUCUUUCCUCAUCAUAUCCUGGCCAUUAUCCCCUUGAUAGGAGGUGUGACUGGUGGUGUGGUGACCAGAGUCUGCAGUGGAUUUGAGCGGGGCCUCCUCUCUGCUCUGUGGUUGUCACAGCCCUGUUGGGGGCAGGUCCUGCUCCCUAGUUGUUGGAAUAGAGGCCCCCAGAUCCGUUUCUGAGCUGCCUUGUGGGGCAGGCAGGAUUGGAGCGCUCCUGCUGGAAGGGGAGCCACCCAGUAUCCCUCCACCAGAGCCAUCUACCAGGGAGUGUGCUCUGUGAUGCCAUCUGUCACCUGUUGUGCGGGCUCACAAAUGCGCUGUUGUCAACUGCCCUCGGCCCCGCCUGCACCGUGGGAACGCAGGCAGUUGGCCCUGGGGUCCCUCAGGUGCUGUGUGCACAAAACCACCAGCACAGAUCCACUGAGGUCAGGUACCAGGACCGGAGUAGUCGUGCGCCUGGACCUGCCGUGGGAGCCGCCCAGACCCUGGCCCUGCUUCUGUGCGUGCCCACAGAGCCCACAGCUGCGAAGGUCGGACCUGUCCCAGCCGCGGGAGCACCCUUUCCACUCGGACGUCCCGCACGCGCUGCUGAGUUGACAGAGUCGGCGGCAGUGGCGUGGAUCACACAGCCGCGAGGAGGGGGCUCUGUUUUCAGUCUCACCUCCGCGUGUGGGCAGCCCCCUGGCACUGGUGCUCCCAGAGCUCAUAAAGGCGGCACCCAGCAAGAGGCUGCCAUGGCGGGCCCCACCCUUCCCUCGCGGGCCCCUUCACAGCGGCGCUUCACCUCUUCUAGGAACUCUUCGUUCCUGGAUGCGGUCACCUCACCUCCUGUUGCUCCUCCUCUUCCGGGUCAUGGCCUGCGCUGGCUGCGUGUCUGUCGCCCUCCACGUGUCUGGGUUCUUCAGGGCUCGGAGCAGGCCUCCCCCCUCCUCUCGCCGUCCCCCCUACUGACUUGCCCUCCCACGGGUCUGAAUGGCAUCCACGCACAGGUUCUCUUUCCAGUUCAGACAUUUCUUCUGCGUUCUAGCCCUGUAUGUCUUUACCUGGACGUCUCAGGGGUGUUUUAAACUGGAUUCUCCCCUCUGCCUGUGCUUCCUGUCUUCCUCAUUUGAGUAAAUGAUACUGUUGCCCGCCCAGGUGUCUAGGUCAGGCAUGUGAACUGUCCUCUCCUCCCUCAAGCUCACUCCCCUCCCAUCCGGUGAGUGGUGAUGCUUGGACUCUGCUUCAUCCACUUGUCUCUGCUGCCUCCGCUGUGGUCCAGGCCAGCUUCAGCUCUUGCAUCCCUGCUCCACACCCUAGGCAGAGUGGCCACAGCAGACCUCUACCCAUUCCACUGCACCAUCUGGAACCUUCAGCUACUCUGGGUCUGCAUCUUCCUGGUAGGCUGGCCGUCCUCAGUUCCUCCAACGUGUGGCUCCCUCCCGACUCUCCAGGCCUCAGUUCCCAGAACCCUCCUCUGCCUACCCUGCUGAACCACGUCCCUUAGGUUAAUCUGUUCUCAGCACUCACGAGUGCGCCUUGUGUAAGUAUCACUGUGAUUGUACUUGCCACUUGUGUGACCAUUUCUUGCGUGUCUCAGAGACCAUACGGGAACUAGCACAGGGUUAAUCCUUAAUAGACGCUCCCAUCUUUAUCAGAUAGGUGGAAUUUUAAUUUCAUUUUAAAGCAGUGGGGUGAAAACCCUGUGUGAAAGAGUAAAGCCUAAAACGAGCGCUGCCUCCUUCGAGACGCACAGCCUUCAAGACCCGAGAAGACUUGAGUGGGCCGUGCUAGAGCCUCACGGUCGCUGCGCUGCCGGGGCCAGGGUGGGGCGGGCCGGGGGAGCUGAGCCGUGUGCGCCUCUCAUCCGCCCUGACCUCCUUCGUUCAGCAGCUGAAGCAUUGUCUUGGAACCACAAACGUUUGUAUCUGUGCGAAGUUUUUUAACACGUUAUUUCUUCUGUUAGAUAACGGUUAAGGCUUGGGGUGUGUCCCGGUAACUUUUACCCCACGGUGCCAAAUAAUUGCUAACGUGUGUAUUGAGUCCUUAAGUGUUCUAGGUGCUCUGAGUGUGUGUGGUUUUGUCCUCAUAAC